UACGAAGGGAGCAAGCGUUGUUCGGAAUUACUGGGCGUAAAGGGCGCGUAGGCGGAUUGAUAUGUUAGGUGUGAAAAACCUGGGCUUAACCUAGGAACUGCACUUAAAACUAUUGAUCUAGAGUACUGGAGGGGAUGAUGGAAUUCCUAGUGUAGAGGUGAAAUUCGUAGAUAUUAGGAAGAACACCAGUGGCGAAGGCGGUCAUCUGGACAGUAACUGACGCUGAGGCGCGAAAGCGUGGGGAGCAAACAGG
rnacentral:rRNA from 1 species